rnacentral:rRNA from 1 species
CAGCCAUGCCGCGUGCAGUGAUGACGGUCYUAUGGAUUGUAAACUGYUUUUGUACAGGAAGAAAAUGUUACUACGUGUAGUAAUUUGACGGKGACUGUASAAUAAAGAACGCGCUCAGACUCCAUUCCAUGACCCCCGCCGCGGUAAU